GCUGUUCCCAGAAGAGAGGGUCUCUCCGAGUGACUGUCUGAGUUCUCCCCAGUCAUGUGUGGCAAGGAGACAACCAAGCUUCUCUAAUGACGAGAAAGCCAAGAUCUCAGAGGCGUCUGUUGAAAAUUCUAACUCACUUUUGGGAUUGGCUACUUGGGCCCAUCAGAAAUGUGGACACUUGGGAGAGAAAGCCACUCACAGGCGAAGCUCAUUGGUCCGGCUGUUAUUGUGAUGACCGUGCUUACUCUACACCCUUUGGUCGGC